AGAUGCUUGCAGCCUUCUGAAGUGAUGUGGUGGUGCUCUGUAUGGGUUAAGAUUUCUGAUCAUGUAUGGUGAUACUCUGUGUAUUGUGGCCAUCUUGACUGUGGUAUGUGCUGUAACACAUUUAUGCACAGCAGAUUUCUCUGUUCCCUGGAGAGGAUGCAGCUGAAGUAUUUCAUGGUGCUUCUGAGACAUAAGGGCUGGAAGUUGAUACUGAGUAAAAGCUGGAUGAAGGAGAAAGGAUCACAUCUCUCCUCUGUGUUACUGACACAGGAACUGCAGAGCAGAAAACAGGGCAAAGGAAGUGAUGGCACAUUCUGUGCUGGCAGGUUGAUCAAACUGCUCAACUUCAAAUUACAAAAAGCAGGAAGAAAGUGAAGUUGGGUACCAUUAAGCAAAGGACAUAGUGAGUCUUGGCUGUCAAAAGGAUCAAAAUAAAGCCUCUGCUUUAAAUAGGGAACAUUGCAAAUGCCUGUCUUUUAUGCUCAUUUCACAGUGUAAAUUCUUUCUUCUGAUUACUUACCACAUGUUUUUGUACUAAACCAGAGCUAUGUAUUUCUUUUUUAAGAAAUACAUGUAAAUACAUAAAUGUCAAUUGAAAAAUAUCAGCAGUGGGGUUUUAUGUUAAUUUUAGCUUUUGUUUUCCUUUGGUUUCUUUUUUUAGUGGUGGGGGUGUUGUUGGUUUUAGGGAUUUUUGGUUUUGUU